rnacentral:rRNA from 1 species
UCCUUUUGUAGAUAAUUUAAGGUCUAGCCUGCCCACUGAAAUUUUAAAUGGCCGUGGUAUUUUGACCGUGCUAAGGUAGCAUAAUCAUUAGUUUUUUAAUUAAAAACUGGAAUGAAAGGUUGGAUGAGAAAAUAGCUGUCUCUAUUAAAUUUAAUUAGAAUUUUAUUUUUAAGUUAAAAAGCUUAAUUAUUAUUAAAAGACGAGAAGACCCUAUAGAGUUUAAUUAUUUAGUAAAAAUUAUAUUUUAGUAUUAAUUUAUUUAUUUUAUUAAAUAAUUUAAUUGGGGUGAUUGAAAAAUUUAAUUAACUUUUUUUAUUUAAGAACAUUAAUUUAUGAAUAAAUGAUCCAAUAUUUUUGAUUAUAAGAUAAAAUUACCUUAGGGAUAACAGCGUAAUUUUUUUAGAAAGUUCAUAUUAAAAAAAAAGAUUGCGACCUCGAUGUUGGAUUAAAAUAAAUUUUUGGUGUAGAAGCUAAAAUAUUAGGUCUGUUCGACCUCUAAAAUUUUACAUGAU